rnacentral:rRNA from 1 species
GACGAACGCUGGCGGCGUGCUUAACACAUGCAAGUCGAACGGAAAGGCCCUGCUUUUGUGGGGUGCUCGAGUGGCGAACGGGUGAGUAACACGUGAGUAACCUGCCCUUGACUUUGGGAUAACUUCAGGAAACUGGGGCUAAUACCGGAUAGGAGCUCCUGCUGCAUGGUGGGGGUUGGAAGUUUCGGCGGUUGGGGAUGGACCCGCGGCUUAUCAGCUUGUUGGUGGGGUAGUGGCUUACCAAGGCUUUGACGGGUAGCCGGCCUGAGAGGGUGACCGGCCACAUUGGGACUGAGAUACGGCCCAGACUCCUACGGGAGGCAGCAGUGGGGAAUAUUGCACAAUGGGCGGAAGCCUGAUGCAGCAACGCCGCGUGCGGGAUGACGGCCUUCGGGUUGUAAACCGCUUUCGCCUGUGACGAAGCGUGAGUGACGGUAAUGGGUAAAGAAGCACCGGCUAACUACGUG